rnacentral:rRNA from 1 species
GACGAACGCUGGCGGCGUGCCUAAUACAUGCAAGUUGAGCGCUGAAGGUUGGUACUUGUACCGACUGGAUGAGCAGCGCACGGGUGAGUAACGCGUGGGGAAUCUGCCUUUGAGCGGGGGACAACAUUUGGAAACGAAUGCUAAUUCCGCAUAAAAACUUUAAACACAAGUUUUAAGUUUGAAAGAUGCAAUUGCAUCACUCAAAGAUGAUCCCGCGUUGUAUUAGCUAGUUGGUGAGGUAAAGGCUCACCAAGGCGAUGAUACAUAGCCGACCUGAGAGGGUGAUCGGCCACAUUGGGACUGAGACACGGCCCAAACUCCUACGGGAGGCAGCAGUAGGGAAUCUUCGGCAAUGGACGAAAGUCUGACCGAGCAACGCCGCGUGAGUGAAGAAGGUUUUCGGAUCGUAAAACUCUGUUGGUAGAGAAGAACGUUGGUGAGAGUGGAAAGCUCAUCAAGUGACGGUAACUACCCAGAAAGGGACGGCUAACUACGUG